GGCGGGCAGAGCGAGGGAGGGAUGGAGGGAACAUCCAUCAUCGCGCCCCUCGGGCCACCCCCUCCCAGGGCACAGUCACUCUUUCCUGCUGUUGAGAUGCCAAGAUCACAGCUACAAUGGAAUAGGAAGAGAAGCAGUGCAAGGUAAAAUCAGGCUGCUUGUAAAGGAUUGAUUUGGCAAAUUAUAUAAACAUUUUUUAACUCAA